rnacentral:rRNA from 1 species
AACAGGUGGAGCCUGCGGUUUAAUCGGACUCAACGCCGGAAAUCUCACCGGAUAAGACAGCUGGAUGAUAGUCGGGCUGAAGACUCUACUUGACUAGCUGAGAGGAGGUGCAUGGCCGUCGUCAGUUCGUACUGUGAAGCAUCCUGUUAAGUCAGGCAACGAGCGAGACCCACGCCAACAGUUGCCAGCUCGUCCUCCGGGAUGGUGGGGACACUGUUGGGACCGCCUCUGCUAAAGAGGAGGAAGGAAUGGGCAACGGUAGGUCAGCAUGCCCCGAAUUAUCCGGGCUACACGCGGGCUACAAUGGGUGGGACAAUGGGUAUCGACACCGAAAGGUGAAGGCAAUCUCCUAAACCCAUCCUUAGUUCGGAUUGUGGGCUGCAACUCGCCCACAUGAAGCUGGAAUCUGUAGUAAUCGUGUCUCAACAUGGCACGGUGAAUAUGUCCCUGCUCCUU